CCUACGGGGGGCAGCAGUGAGGAAUAUUGGUCAAUGGGCGCGAGCCUGAACCAGCCAAGUCGCGUGAGGGAAGACGGUCCUAUGGAUUGUAAACCUCUUUUGUCGGGGAGCAAAAGACGCCACGCGUGGCGUUCCGAGAGUACCCGAAGAAAAAGCAUCGGCUAACUCCGUGCCAGCAGCCGCGGUAAUACGGGGGAUGCGAGGGUUAUCCGGAUUUAUUGGGUUGAAAGGGUGCGCAGGCGGAAGAGCAAGUCAGCGGUAAACUUGAGAGGCUCAACCUCUUCGAGCCGUUGAAACUGGUUUUCUGGAGUGAGUGAGAAGAAUGCGGAAUGCGUGGUGUAGCGGUGAAAUGCAUAGAUAUCACGCAGAACUUCGAUUGCGAAGGCAGCAUACCGGCGCUCAACUGACGCUCAUGCACGAAAGUGUGGGUAUCGAACAGGAUUAGAUACCCCAGUAGUC
rnacentral:rRNA from 1 species